rnacentral:ncRNA from 1 species
GACCCGAAACCGAUCGAUCUAGCCAUGAGCAGGUUGAAGAGAGCUCUAACAGGCCUUGGAGGACCGAACCCACGUAUGUGGCAAAAUACGAGGAUGACUUGUGGCUAGGGGUGAAAGGCCAACCAAGAGGCAUAUGUUCAGG